rnacentral:lncRNA from 13 species
CUCUCAAUAUGUCAAAUGGACUAGCCAGUUCCAGACUCUAGAUGAAACUGCUUUUGGUUUAAUAUUCAAUCUUCACAGCUCACCUGAGGUGGACCAGCUGCUUCCUGUGGGAGAAGGGCAGAAAGAACUAAUCAGACAGACCAUAGUUGGAUUACUGUCUCUACCGUUUGUGACUGAUUGUGAACUUGGACACAUGACGUAAUCUGUAUGCCUCAGUCCCUUCUCCUUAGUGCAGUUGUAUCAUUGAUGCUGUGCUUCUUUCUGAGGACCAUCAACUAUGUUUCAGUUCAUCCCCCAUAUCUAAUGGAAGACCUUCAACAUGAAAGAUGGCACCCCUGUAAUAUGGCAGGGAGACCUCUGAGCUUUUAAGGUAGAGAAAAAAUACCAUUCGCCAAAUCAAUAGCUGUAUAACAGGUACCUGAGAAUGUACCGAAAUGCUCCAGUAAUGAAACCACAUUCGGAACAGCAGCUGCAAUUGCUCGAUAAUGUUUAUGAUAAUCUACUAUCAUUGUCUAAGACCCAUCUGUCUUCUGCACAGGCCAAGUAAGUGAUAUGGAAUCUUCGUGUAGUGAACUAACAUUAGUCAAUUCAGCCUCUUCUAUCUUUAUAUUUCUUUCACUGUGAUUCCACACUCUUAAGAUGUAUUACCAUACAAAUUCCUCAGGCUUUUAUCAGCACAAAUUGGUGAAAUGGUGCAAGUCGUUUGAUAUGUAUUACACUUCUAUAUGAGUCAUGCUUUGGAUUUAAUUCUUUGGAACCUGCUGAGAUGUGAUUCUAGUUAUAGGUCUAGAUGUCAAGAGAUGUG